AGAGGAUAUGGGGGCCCUAGCAGAAGAGUUCAUGUGGUGACCCCUGUCAGGUAAUACCUGGCAAUACCUGUGAAUUCUGCU
rnacentral:ribozyme from 1 species